rnacentral:rRNA from 1 species
UACAGAGGUCCCGAGCGUUGUUCGGAUUCAUUGGGCGUAAAGGGUGCGUAGGCGGCGGGGAAAGUCGGAUGUGAAAUCCUGGGGCUCAACCCUGGAACUGCAUUGGAUACUUCCUUGCUAGAGUACUGGAGAGGAAACUGGAAUUUACGGUGUAGCAGUGAAAUGCGUAGAGAUCGUAAGGAAGACCAGUGGCGAAGGCGAGUUUCUGGACAGUUACUGACGCUGAGGCACGAAGGCCAGGGGAGCAAACGGG